GUGAGGUGGGCUUGGUAGUAGUGAGUCUCCCAUACCCUACUAAGAGUUUCCUCCAAAACUCUCUAAUUCCAAUGAGGGAUAUGGAAUUUUCCAAAAAUAGUGGGUGGUGCUAUUUGAUUUAAAGACCCGGAUCAAAUGGCUUAAAAUCAAUCGAUUUAUAUUCGUUAUGUAUUAAUUUACCAAUAUAUUGCAAACGCUAUCCAACACUUGACAAAUAAAAGCUGAAUGCUUUAGUUUCCGGACUUGGUACAACAAUCCCAAAGAUUGUCUUAAAUGGAUAUCAUAUGUACCUAAGUAGUCUCAUCCUCACAAUCUUCCUAUUGAGAAUGUACCAUUGGAAGAAAAUGUUAGAUAAGUCUAUCAUAAGGAGGACAACACUUUUAAUGUCAUAAUUCUUCACUUACAAAUCGUUGUAUGAAGAAAUAAGAGUUGCUUUGAACAACCCUUAGUCAAUGCAAACAUUAGUGCUUGUUUCUUUGUUAAAUGAACAAGGAACUUUAGAAGUAAGCACAAGGGCAUGGACCCUUUAUGUGCCAUGAUUCUUCACUUACAAAUUGUUGUAUGAAGAAAUGAGAGUUGUCUUGAACAACUCUUGAAAGUUUGUAAUUAUGUUUAGAACAUAAUGGUUGGUUGACAAAAAUAGUCCAUCAACAUGGACUUAUGAUGAUUUUGAAUCAUUGAGUGUUGAAGUGUUAAACCACUUCUAGAAACGGAAACUAGGCAAGGACUUCACCUUUGUGUCCAUAUCCAAAUGGUUCACUAAGUUUAUUGUAAACUAUAUAGUGAACAAUAACCACACGCUCUCCAAAUCGUUUGAUGUGUAUAACACAAUUGAAAUAAGUUUCAAGAGAGAUAGUGGGAGUUUAGGGACCAUGACCAUUGUAGUCAAAGGAGAAGUCAAAUGAAGAAGAUAAAAUUAACUCCAAGGGAACAAACUUUCUUUAUGAAAGGAUGGACAUUGGAAGGGGUAUUUGCAAGAAAUGUCUUGCAAGUGUUAAGAACACACCUUUCGAAGGUGUUGUAAAUUUUUCUUGAAUAGUUCAAAACAGUUGGUUCAUCUACUUGAAUGCUUGAUUCCGUAUUAGCAACUAUGUUUUACAAUCGUUGUAAAAGUGUGACUAAUAAGAAGUAGAAGAAAUAUGAGAGAAGAAAAGGUGCUUCACAUUCGGAACGUGAAUAAAAUAUAGAUCUCUACGAAAGUAGAUAGUACUUACUUCCUCAUAUGAACUACCAAAGAAAUUGGAAAAACCAAAGAUUGUCUUUACAUUCCAAUUUUAAGGAACUUAAUUCCGUCACUAUAAUAGAGAUGGAUGAAUGUUUUGUUUGACAAAACAUUGUUAUUUAUUAAUCAAUGAUUGGAUUAUAGUAAUCUAAUUGAUUGUCUCUAUAAUAGAGAUGAUAUGGUAUUGUUAACUGUUUAGAAUAUAAUGAUGCUUAAAACCCAAAAGGUUGCAAGGUAGUGACUAAUCCCAACUGAG
rnacentral:lncRNA from 1 species